UACGUAGGAGGCAAGCGUUGUCCGGAAUCACUGGGCGUAAAGCGCGUGUAGGCGGAUCGCUAAGUCUGUGGUGAAAGCGCCUGGCUUAACCGGGCGAGGUCCAUGGAAACUAGCGGUCUGGAGGCCGGUAGAGGGGGGUGGAAUUCCGGGUGUAGUGGUGAAAUGCGUAGAGAUCAGCAGGAACACCCGUGGCGAAGGCGGCCCCCUGGGCCGUACCUGACGCUGAGGCGCGAAGGCUAGGGGAGCGAACGGG
rnacentral:rRNA from 1 species